UACUCUGGCUGAAACGGGUGAAAUCUUUGAUAGUACACAUGAAGGCAAUACUACUUUCUCAUUUGAGAUUGGGAAGGGCAUGAUGAUCAAGGCAUGGGAUGUUGCUGUCAAAACUAUGAGGGUUGGGGAAAUAGCUAAGAUUACUUGCAAGCCGGAGUAUGCAUAUGAAACUGUAGGUUCUCCCCCAGAUAUUCCUCCAAAAUUAUCUAAGAUGGCGAAGGUGCAACAAGAGAACAAAGGACACCAGUAAAUCGAGCUUCAAAUUAGCAUCAUACAUAUCUAACUAGAUGCUCGUUAGCUUUUAUAGGUUUUAGUUUUCUUGGCUUAGUGAGUAGAUACGGUAUACUUAUGAUUGAUGAUGUUUUUGACAAAUUGAAUUUAUUAGGAUUUUGGCUUGGUUAACAUUAUGUAUAUAAU